GGCGGCCUCUGGCACAUCUCAGCAGACCCGGUCAGGGGCCGAAAGAGUUUAUAAGCAAAUAAGCAAAGGGCUGCGGAAGCAGAAGUGUGGUGAAAUUAAACCUAAGAACUCAGAGGAUACUCGGAAUGGAAUUCUUCUUUGAACGUCUUUGGGCUUCUUUGAACGUCUCCUUCCAGAGCGGAUGCUGCAGUUUCAGGUGUACAGCAAAGAGAAUCAGUUAAAACUGGGCAGUCUGGAACCUUCUGGCCCUCACCACUGAGGGCCCCACGGGACUUCUCCACCAUCAGCACCAAGCCCCACUCCAAGGGAAGAAGAGGUAACCUGCAUGGGAGACCCUGUCCUUCUUCCGAAACAAGGUGCCAGACCUGAAACAGUCCUUUCUUUUCUCUCGCCAGUGCCUUCCUUGCUGCACCCUCCUUCUUCCUAUUAAAACCUCCCAUUUUGUGCUGCCCCGCGGAGUGCCCUUUACCACCAUCACUGAAUAAAGC
ensembl:lncRNA